rnacentral:rRNA from 1 species
UGGUGGAGUGAUUUGUCUGGUUGAUUCCGUUAACGAACGAGACCUCGACCUCUAGUUAGUUUCAUACAAAUCUAUUUGUAUUGAAAUUUCUGAAUUGGGACUAUCGGUGUGUAGCCGAUGGAAGUUCGAGGCAAUAACA